rnacentral:rRNA from 1 species
UACGUAGGGUGCGAGCGUUGUCCGGAAUUAUUGGGCGUAAAGAGCUUGUAGGCGGUUUGUCGCGUCUGCCGUGAAAAUCCGGGGCUCAACCCCGGACUUGCGGUGGGUACGGGCAGACUAGAGUGUGGUAGGGGAGACUGGAAUUCCUGGUGUAGCGGUGAGAUGCGCAGAUAUCAGGAGGAACACCGAUGGCGAAGGCAGGUCUCUGGGCCACUACUGACGCUGAGAAGCGAAAGCGUGGGGAGCGAACAGG